rnacentral:rRNA from 1 species
GACGAACGCUGGCGGCGUGCUUAACACAUGCAAGUCGAACGGAAAGGCCCUGCUUUUGUGGGGUGCUCGAGUGGCUAACGGGUGAGUAACACGUGAGUAACCUGCCCUUGACUUUGGGAUAACUUCAGGAAACUGGGGCUAAUACCGGAUAGGAGCUCCUGCUGCAUGGUGGGGGUUGGAAAGUUUCGGCGGUUGGGGAUGGACUCGCGGCUUAUCAGCUUGUUGGUGGGGUAGUGGCUUACCAAGGCUUUGACGGGUAGCCGGCCUGAGAGGGUGACCGGCCACAUUGGGACUGAGAUACGGCCCAGACGCCUACGGGAGGCAGCAGUGGGGAAUAUUGCACAAUGGGCGGAAGCCUGAUGCAGCAACGCCGCGUGCGGGAUGACGGCCUUCGGGUUGUAAACCGCUUUCGCCUGUGACGAAGCGUGAGUGACGGUAAUGGGUAAAGAAGCACCGGCUAACUACGUG